UACGUGAGGGUGCGAGCGUUAAUCGGAAUCUGGGCGUAAAGCGUGCGCAGGCGGUUCGUUAUGUCUGAUGAUGAAGCCCCGGGCUCAACCUGGGAAUGGCAUUGGAAACUGGCGAGCUUGAGUGUGGCAGAGGGGGGUGGAACUGCGAGUGUAGAGGUGAAAUUCGUAGAGUAUUACGCAAGAACACCAGUGGCGAAGGCGGACUCACCUGGCCCCGGAGUAACUGAC
rnacentral:rRNA from 1 species